AGAGCUGAGUUGGAUGAUAUAGAAAAGGGCUCUGCCACCAACCAAAGAACAUCUUGCUAGAUGGAAGAUGCUUGUUACAGAAACUUUUGGCCAAGGAAAGAGCAACGACAACACAACCCAAUGUUUCAGUGGCAAGGUCUUCUACCAAGACGUCCCCACUGGCAUCGGCUUGCUGUUGAGAUUGGAUGUGCUGCAAUCCUAAUAGCUGCUGUGAUAGCACUGGGACUUUUUGCUUUGCAGAUCAAGCAAGCCCUGCAUGCUCAAAAGAAGGCCUGUGCCUCCCAAGGACCCAAAAAUGGAACUCAACAGGAGACCGUCUUGGAGAAUCCUCCCUCUGAGAACUGCCAGCCUUUGAGACAGUUGCUGUGUAAGCUAC